rnacentral:rRNA from 1 species
CCUACGGGUGGCAGCAGUGAGGAAUAUUGGUCAAUGGUCGGAAGGCUGAACCAGCCAUGCCGCGUGCAGGUCAGUGCCCUAUGGGCGUUAAACUUCUUUUGUGCGGGAGCAAUAAUGGUCACGUGUGGCCAGACGAGAGUACCGUACGAAUAAGCAUCGGCUAACUCCGGUCCAGCAGCCGCGGUAAUACGGGGGAUGCAAGCGUUAUCCGGAGUUAUUGGGUUUAAAGGGUGCGUAGGCUGGGAGGUAAGUCGGCGGUGAAAUGCCCCCGCUCAACGGGGUGAAGUGCCAUUGAUACUGCCUGGCUGGAAUGCGGAUGCGGUGGGAGGAAUGUGUGGUGUAGCGGUGAAAUGCAUAGAUAUCACACAGAACACCGAUUGCGAAGGCAUCUCACGAAGCCGCGAUUGACGCUGAUGCACGAAAGCGUGGGUAUCAAACAGGAUUAGAUACCCUGGUAGUC